rnacentral:rRNA from 1 species
UGAAUACGAGACGCUAAGGCGUCGAAGUAGUGUAUGUCAUACUUCCAAGAAAAGCUUGCACUGUCAUAGAUAAAAAACGCCUGUACCAUAACCGACACAGGUGGGUAGGUAGAGUAUACUAAGGGGCGCGAGAUAACUCUCUCUAAGGAACUCGGCAAAAUAACUCCGUAACUUCGGGAGAAGGAGUGCCUUAUUCGUAAGGUCCAAUAACAAGAUCCAAGCAACUGUUUAUCAAAAACACAGGUCUCCGCUAAGUCGUAAGACGAUGUAUGGGGGCUGACGCCUGCCCAGUGCCAGAAGGUUAAGGAAGUUGGUUAGCAAUUGCGAAGUUGAUAACUGAAGCCCUGGUGAACGGCGGCCGUAACAAUAACGGUCCUAAGGUAGCGAAAUUCCUUGUCGGGUAAGUUCCGACCCGCACGAAAGGCGUAAUGAUUUGGAUACUGUCUCGGAGAGGGGCUCGGUGAAAUAGACUUGUCUGUGAAGAUGCGGACUACCUGCACCAGGACAGAAAGACCCUAUGAAGCUUUACUGUAACUUGAAAUUGAAAUUGGACUUUAUUCGCGCAGUAUAGGUGGGAGGCGUUGAUUAUAAUCUUGUGGGAUUAUUGGAGCCAUCAGUGAGAUACCACUCUUGUAAUGUUAGAUUUCUAACUUUGAAUCAUUAUCUGGUCAAAGAACAGUUUCAGGCGGGCAGUUUGACUGGGGCGGUCGCCUCCUAAACGGUAACGGAGGCGUACAAAGGUUUCCUCUGAACGGUUAGAAAUCGUAUCUAGAGUGUAAAGGCAUAAGGAAGCUUGACUGUGAGACCUACAAGUCGAGCAGGGACGAAAGUCGGUCUUAGUGAUCUGACGGUACUGAGUGGAAAGGCCGUCACUCAACGGAUAAAAGUUACUCUAGGAUAACAGGCUGAUCUCCCCCAAGAGUUCACAUCGACGGGGAGGUUUGGCACCUCGAUGUCGGCUCAUCGCAUCCUGGGGCGGUAGUACGUCCCAAGGGUUGGGCUGUUCGCCCAUGAAAGCGGUACGCGAGCUGGGUUCAGAACGUCGUGAGACAGUUCGGUCCAUAUCCGGUGUAGGCGUUAGAAUAUUGAGAGGAGCCUUCUUUAGUACGAGAGGACCGAGAAGGACAUACCUCUGGCGUACCAGUUAUCGUGCCAACGGUAAACGCUGGGUAGCUAUGUAUGGAGUGGAUAACCGCUGAAAGCAUCUAAGUGGGAAGCCCACCUCAAGAUAAGUA